rnacentral:rRNA from 1 species
GACGAACGCUGGCGGCGUGCUUAACACAUGCAAGUCGAACGGAAAGGCCCUGCUUUUGUGGGGUGCUCGAGUGGCGAACGGGUGAGUAACACGUGAGUAACCUGCCCUUGACUUUGGGAUAACUUCAGGAAACUGGGGCUAAUACCGGAUAGGAGCUCCUGCUGCAUGGUGGGGGUUGGAAAGUUUCGGCGGUUGGGGAUGGACUCGCGGCUUAUCAGCUUGUUGGUGGGGUAGUGGCUUACCAAGGCUUUGACGGGUAGCCGGCCUGAGAGGGUGACCGGCCACAUUGGGACUGCGGUACGGCCCAGACUCCUCCGGGAGGCAGCAGUGGGGAAUAUUGCCCAAUGGGCGGAAGCCUGAUGCAGCAACGCCGCGUGCGGGAUGACGGCCUUCGGGUUGUAAACCGCUUUCGCCUGUGACGAAGCGUGAGUGACGGUAAUGGGUAAAGAAGCACCGGCUAACUACGUG